rnacentral:rRNA from 1 species
AUUGAACGCUGGCGGCAUGCCUUACACAUGCAAGUCGAACGGCAGCACGGGAGCAAUCCUGGUGGCGAGUGGCGAACGGGUGAGUAAUGUAUCGGAACGUGCCCAGUCGUUGGGGAUAACGUAGCGAUAGCUACGCUAAUACCGCAUACGAUCGAGGGCUGAAAGCGGGGGAUCGCAAGACCUCGCGCGAUUGGAGCGGCCGAUUACAGAUGAGGUAGUUGGUGGGGUAAAGGCUCACCAAGCCGACGAUCUGUAGCUGGUCUGAGAGGACGACCAGCCACACUGGGACUGAGACACGGCCCAGACUCCUACGGGAGGCAGCAGUGGGGAAUUUUGGACAAUGGGCGCAAGCCUGAUCCAGCAAUGCCGCGUGCAGGAUGAAGGCCUUCGGGUUGUAAACUGCUUUUGUACGGAACGAAACGGCGAGCUCUAAUACAAUUUGCUAAUGACGGUACCGUAAGAAUAAGCACCGGCUAACUACGUGCCAGCAGCCGCCGUAA